rnacentral:rRNA from 1 species
GAUGAACGCUGGCGGCGUGCCUAACACAUGCAAGUCGAACAGGAAUCUUCGGAUUCUAGUGGCGGACGGGUGAGUAACGCGUAAGAAUCUAACUUCAGGACGGGGACAACAGUUGGAAACGACUGCUAAUACCCGAUAUGCCGCGAGGUGAAACCUAAUUGGCCUGAAGAAGAGCUUGCGUCUGAUUAGCUAGUUGGUGGGGUAAGAGCCUACCAAGGCGACGAUCAGUAGCUGGUCUGAGAGGAUGAGCAGCCACACUGGGACUGAGACACGGCCCAGACUCCUACGGGAGGCAACAGUGGGGAAUUUUUCCGCAAUGGGCGAAAGCCUGACGGAGCAACGCCGCGUGAGGGAGGAAGGUCUUUGGAUUGUAAACCUCUUUUCUCAAGGAAGAAGUUCUGACGGUACUUGAGGAAUCAGCCUCGGCUAACUCCGUACCAGCAGCCGCGGUAAU